rfam:Methylovorus sp. MM1 NODE_1, whole genome shotgun sequence.
GCGGGAAUAGCUCAGUUGGUAGAGCGAUACCUUGCCAAGGUAUAGGUCGCGAGUUCGAGUCUCGUUUCCCGCU